rnacentral:rRNA from 1 species
UACAGAGGUCUCAAGCGUUGUUCGGAUUCAUUGGGCGUAAAGGGUGUGUAGGUGGCGCCGUAAGUCGGGUGUGAAAUUUCGGAGCUUAACUCCGAAACUGCAUUCGAUACUGCGGUGCUUGAGGACUGGAGAGGAGACUGGAAUUCAUGGUGUAGCAGUGAAAUGCGUAGAGAUCAUGAGGAAGACCAGUGGCGAAGGCGGCUACCUGGACAGAAACUGACGCUGAGGCACGAAAGCUAGGGGAGCAAACAGG